ACAGAGCAAACAGGAGCUGGGAGAUGAGCUCUGACGAGGACCAGCCUUGGGGCUAGGACAGUCCCCUUCUCUGGGGGCAAAUGGCGUUGAGGUCUCCCCUGAAGUAGAGGAGGGAGCAGCAGAGUGUCCUGGGCAAGGCCCAGCCAGCUCAGAGGAGGGGUCCCCUGUACCCUCCCCGCUCCCACUCCAGCCCCUGAGGGAACAUUCGCCCUUCAGCAUCUAAAGCCUUUUCACACCCAGUCUCUCCCUAGGCUCUCACAGCAACUGGUGAAGUGAGAUUCUCCCAUCCUCUGGAUGGGGAGAGCCCCGAGAGGGGCCUGGACCACCUGAAGUCGGAGGCGCAGCCCGGUGCGUGAGCUAGAGCCCAGUCUUCAGGCCUUUCCUGCUGAGGUCCCCAACUUCAGGACCCAGCCUUGAGAGGCAAGACGGCAGGAGAAAAGGCCUUCUGGGAGUCGGGCGGUCGGAUGGCCUUCGGGCCCUCCUAACCCAGGUGCUCGUCCCUUCACAGGAAGCAGCACGAAGCAGGGGAAGAACAUGGGUUUUGGAGCCACGUGAUCCUGCAACUGAAUUCUGGCUCUGCCACUUAACUAACUGUGUGACUUUAGGCAAGCUUCUUAACUGCUCUGAGCCUCAGUUUUCUCAUCUGAAAAAUAAGACCAGUGCCAUCCUUCUCCUAGGGUCGUUGGGAUGCUAUACAUAAACACAAGGCAUUUCCAUGAACCUAGUAGCACAGUGUACUGGACCACUGCCAGAGGCUCAGGCCCGGCAGAAAUAAUUGCUCUCCAGGUUGAUGUAUAAGUGGUCACUCUUGAUAUUUGUAAACUGUUGGCUCUGCAGCACACAGGCUUUAAGACUCAGAGCCUCGGAGGGGAAUGGACUCUCUCACUGAAAAGACGGGGAGGCAGGCGAGAGAGAAGUGACUGGCUCAGGGUCACAGACGGAGCCACGGCAGAGCUGGAGCUCAAACGUGGGUGUGCGACACCUAGUCCAGGCCCCUCGCCCCUGCAGCCCUGCUAAAUCAGAUGAUUAUCUGAAGCAGGGAGGACACUGGAGACCACCUGGGCGGACUCCCUCAGCACUCAGAGGAACUGAGGCCACAGCGGUUUGCUGACCAGGUGGUGAGGACACUGGGAAGGCAGGAAGUCUCUCCCACCAAUGCACAGACGAAGAGCUGAGCCCAAGGGUGAGGAAGCCAUGCUGAAAGCCACCCACAAACCUGUAGCGGGGCCACGCCUAGAACCCCCUGAGGAGGAGGAUGAACUUUCCAGAUCAGGCCCUGCUUGGCUUCAGUCUCUGUCCCCUGAGAACACGGCAAAGUCGGCGCUGCCUGUCCCUAGACCCAACUCUGACCACAGGCCGGGGGGGUUUAAGUGCUUCAGAUUAAAUUCCAUUUGCUUCCAACAGUCUGGCCCUGUCUCUGUGCCCCAGGACUGAUAACUGAUCAUUUACUCACUCCCUCACUCAUUCAUUCAUUCAUUCAUUCAACAAUCAUCACACACAUCCUCUGAGUGCCAGGCCCUGGGCCAGGAGCAAUGGAGGACACAGAGAUGAAUUGGGGAUGUUCCCUCUUCCAAGGAGUGCAAAGUCUACUGGGGGAACCAGAAACAGGCAAAUGUCAGUGUGAAGUGACCCGUACUAUAACAGGCAGCUCAGGAGGGUGUGGAAGCCAAGGGACGGGCAGGAUGUUCAGAAGUCCCUUCCUCCUGUGCCCGCCCAUUCACUCUCACUUUGCUCUGACCAGAGGGAGCAGCUCCCCCCAGUGCACACCACUGUGCUUCGCAGGCCCAGCCCACUGCUCUGCUAAAGGGAAGUAGAGG